GACCUGGUGGUGAAUGGUUCACAUCCACUUUCCUUAGCCAUUCAAUAGUGUCGCACCUCUAAAGUGAGAGUACCCGGUUCGAUUCCGGGUCAGGUUG